rnacentral:rRNA from 1 species
GGGUUGUGAGGUUAAGCGACUAAGCGUACACGGUGGAUGCCCUGGCAGUCAGAGGCGAUGAAGGACGUGCUAAUCUGCGAUAAGCGUCGGUAAGGUGAUAUGAACCGUUAUAACCGGCGAUUUCCGAAUGGGGAAACCCAGUGUGUUUCGACACACUAUCAUUAACUGAAUCCAUAGGUUAAUGAGGCGAACCGGGGGAACUGAAACAUCUAAGUACCCCGAGGAAAAGAAAUCAACCGAGAUUCCCCCAGUAGCGGCGAGCGAACGGGGAGCAGCCCAGAGCCUGAAUCAGUGUGUGUGUUAGUGGAAGCGUCUGGAAAGGCGCGCGAUACAGGGUGACAGCCCCGUACACAAAAAUGCACAUAUUGUGAGCUCGAUGAGUAGGGCGGGACACGUGGUAUCCUGUCUGAAUAUGGGGGGACCAUCCUCCAAGGCUAAAUACUCCUGACUGACCGAUAGUGAACCAGUACCGUGAGGGAAAGGCGAAAAGAACCCCGGCGAGGGGAGUGAAAAAGAACCUGAAACCGUGUACGUACAAGCAGUGGGAGCACGCUUAGGCGUGUGACUGCGUACCUUUUGUAUAAUGGGUCAGCGACUUAUAUUCUGUAGCAAGGUUAACCGAAUAGGGGAGCCGAAGGGAAACCGAGUCUUAACUGGGCGUUAAGUUGCAGGGUAUAGACCCGAAACCCGGUGAUCUAGCCAUGGGCAGGUUGAAGGUUGGGUAACACUAACUGGAGGACCGAACCGACUAAUGUUGAAAAAUUAGCGGAUGACUUGUGGCUGGGGGUGAAAGGCCAAUCAAACCGGGAGAUAGCUGGUUCUCCCCGAAAGCUAUUUAGGUAGCGCCUCGUGAAUUCAUCUCCGGGGGUAGAGCACUGUUUCGGCAAGGGGGUCAUCCCGACUUACCAACCCGAUGCAAACUGCGAAUACCGGAGAAUGUUAUCACGGGAGACACACGGCGGGUGCUAACGUCCGUCGUGAAGAGGGAAACAACCCAGACCGCCAGCUAAGGUCCCAAAGUCAUGGUUAAGUGGGAAACGAUGUGGGAAGGCCCAGACAGCCAGGAUGUUGGCUUAGAAGCAGCCAUCAUUUAAAGAAAGCGUAAUAGCUCACUGGUCGAGUCGGCCUGCGCGGAAGAUGUAACGGGGCUAAACCAUGCACCGAAGCUGCGGCAGCGACGCUUAUGCGUUGUUGGGUAGGGGAGCGUUCUGUAAGCCUGCGAAGGUGUGCUGUGAGGCAUGCUGGAGGUAUCAGAAGUGCGAAUGCUGACAUAAGUAACGAUAAAGCGGGUGAAAAGCCCGCUCGCCGGAAGACCAAGGGUUCCUGUCCAACGUUAAUCGGGGCAGGGUGAGUCGACCCCUAAGGCGAGGCCGAAAGGCGUAGUCGAUGGGAAACAGGUUAAUAUUCCUGUACUUGGUGUUACUGCGAAGGGGGGACGGAGAAGGCUAUGUUGGCCGGGCGACGGUUGUCCCGGUUUAAGCGUGUAGGCUGGUUUUCCAGGCAAAUCCGGAAAAUCAAGGCUGAGGCGUGAUGACGAGGCACUACGGUGCUGAAGCAACAAAUGCCCUGCUUCCAGGAAAAGCCUCUAAGCAUCAGGUAACAUCAAAUCGUACCCCAAACCGACACAGGUGGUCAGGUAGAGAAUACCAAGGCGCUUGAGAGAACUCGGGUGAAGGAACUAGGCAAAAUGGUGCCGUAACUUCGGGAGAAGGCACGCUGAUAUGUAGGUGAAGUCCCUUGCGGAUGGAGCUGAAAUCAGUCGAAGAUACCAGCUGGCUGCAACUGUUUAUUAAAAACACAGCACUGUGCAAACACGAAAGUGGACGUAUACGGUGUGACGCCUGCCCGGUGCCGGAAGGUUAAUUGAUGGGGUUAGCGCAAGCGAAGCUCUUGAUCGAAGCCCCGGUAAACGGCGGCCGUAACUAUAACGGUCCUAAGGUAGCGAAAUUCCUUGUCGGGUAAGUUCCGACCUGCACGAAUGGCGUAAUGAUGGCCAGGCUGUCUCCACCCGAGACUCAGUGAAAUUGAACUCGCUGUGAAGAUGCAGUGUACCCGCGGCAAGACGGAAAGACCCCGUGAACCUUUACUAUAGCUUGACACUGAACAUUGAGCCUUGAUGUGUAGGAUAGGUGGGAGGCUUUGAAGUGUGGACGCCAGUCUGCAUGGAGCCGACCUUGAAAUACCACCCUUUAAUGUUUGAUGUUCUAACGUGGACCCGUAAUCCGGGUUGCGGACAGUGUCUGGUGGGUAGUUUGACUGGGGCGGUCUCCUCCUAAAGAGUAACGGAGGAGCACGAAGGUUGGCUAAUCCUGGUCGGACAUCAGGAGGUUAGUGCAAUGGCAUAAGCCAGCUUGACUGCGAGCGUGACGGCGCGAGCAGGUGCGAAAGCAGGUCAUAGUGAUCCGGUGGUUCUGAAUGGAAGGGCCAUCGCUCAACGGAUAAAAGGUACUCCGGGGAUAACAGGCUGAUACCGCCCAAGAGUUCAUAUCGACGGCGGUGUUUGGCACCUCGAUGUCGGCUCAUCACAUCCUGGGGCUGAAGUAGGUCCCAAGGGUAUGGCUGUUCGCCAUUUAAAGUGGUACGCGAGCUGGGUUUAGAACGUCGUGAGACAGUUCGGUCCCUAUCUGCCGUGGGCGCUGGAGAACUGAGGGGGGCUGCUCCUAGUACGAGAGGACCGGAGUGGACGCAUCACUGGUGUUCGGGUUGUCAUGCCAAUGGCACUGCCCGGUAGCUAAAUGCGGAAGAGAUAAGUGCUGAAAGCAUCUAAGCACGAAACUUGCCCCGAGAUGAGUUCUCCCUGACUCCUUGAGAGUCCUGAAGGAACGUUGAAGACGACGACGUUGAUAGGCCGGGUGUGUAAGCGCAGCGAUGCGUUGAGCUAACCGGUACUAAUGAACCGUGAGGCUUAACCUUACAACGCCGAAGCUGUU